CCUACGGGAGGCAGCAGUGGGGAAUAUUGCACAAUGGGGGAAACCCUGAUGCAGCGACGCCGCGUGAGUGAAGAAGUACUUCGGUAUGUAAAGCUCUAUCAGUAGGGAAGAAAAUGACGGUACCUGAUUAAGAAGCCCCGGCUAACUACGUUACAGCAGCCGCGGUAAUACGUAGGGGGCAAGCGUUAUCCGGAUUUACUGGGUGUAAAGGGAGCGUAGACGGCAGCACAAGUCUGGAGUGAAAUGCCGGGGCUUAACCCCGGAACUGCCUUGGAAACUGUGCAGCUAGAGUGCAGGUGAGGUAGGUGGAAUUCCUAGUGUAGCGGUGAAAUGCAUAGAUAUCACGCAGAACACCGAUUGCGAAGGCAGCAUACCGGCGCUCAACUGACGCUCAUGCACGAAAGUGUGGGUAUCGAACAGGAUUAGAUACCCGGGUAGUC
rnacentral:rRNA from 1 species